rnacentral:misc_RNA from 1 species
AAGUCGUAACAAGGUUUCCGUAGGUGAACCUGCGGAAGGAUCAUCGUUGUGAUAUCUUUGAAUACCUGUGGGUUUUUUUCCAGAUCCCAACCAAAAGGAGAGAGGCGUUGACUGAGGUUUGUUUUGGAGAGAAAAAAGGACAAAACUUUCAACAACGGAUCUCUUGGCUCUCA